UACGGGGGGGGGCAAGCGUUGUUCGGAAUUACUGGGCGUAAAGGCUCGUAGGCGGCCAACUAAGUCAGACGUGAAAUCCCUCGGCUUAACCGGGGAACUGCGUCUGAUACUGGAUGGCUUGAGUUUGGGAGAGGGAUGCGGAAUUCCAGGUGUAGCGGUGAAAUGCGUAGAUAUCGGAAGGAACACCAGUGGCGAAAGCGGCUUCCUGGUCCAGCACCGACGU
rnacentral:rRNA from 1 species